AGUGAACGCUGGCGGUAGACCUAACACAUGCAAGUCGAACGGCAGCACAGUAAGAGCUUGCUCUUACGGGUGGCGAGUGGCGGACGGGUGAGGAAUACAUCGGAAUCUACUUUUUCGUGGGGGAUAACGUAGGGAAACUUACGCUAAUACCGCAUACGACCUACGGGUGAAAGCAGGGGAUCUUCGGACCUUGCGCGAUUGAAUGAGCCGAUGUCGGAUUAGCUAGUUGGCGGGGUAAAGGCCCACCAAGGCGACGAUCCGUAGCUGGUCUGAGAGGAUGAUCAGCCACACUGGAACUGAGGCACGGUCCAGACUCCUACGGGAGGCAGCAGUGGGGAAUAUUGGACAAUGGGCGCAAGCCUGAUCCAGCCAUACCGCGUGGGUGAAGAAGGCCUUCGGGUUGUAAAGCCCUUUUGUUGGGAAAGAAAAGCAGCAGGUUAAUACCCCGCUGUUCUGACGGUACCCAAAGAAUAAGCACCGGCUAACUUCGUG
rnacentral:rRNA from 1 species